UCCUCGGUAGUAUAGUGGUGACUAUCCGCGUCUGUCACAUGCGAGACCCGGGUUCAAUUCCCGGCCGGAGAG
rnacentral:tRNA from 1 species